UAAUGAAUCAAUGGUACGGAAGUAGAGGAAGCAAGAAGAAUGACACCCUGGCCUGCUCUGCCAAUCCAGAGGUACCACCCGAUUUCCAUGGAACAUUGGAUGUUGUAGAGGUGUCUUGGUUGACACGCCUCUACAGAGCGUUCAGGAACACUGUGCGAGUCUAAUCCAGACCAAAGGCUCUGCCAUCAAGUAUUUGUGUACUGCCUGUGUGACCUCACCCCAGAGUGGAUGAGUCAUCUACCUUAUCCCCAGACUGUGCUCUAUGGGAGACGGAUCAUUGAACUGUCAGUGACUUUGUAACACAGUAUAAGCAGAACAGUUAAGAGAACAGUUAAAAGUCAUGUAACCGUAAACAGUAAAACAAGAACAUGUCCCAACAGCAGCAGAUGUCCCAAGGCAUGAUGGGAAAUAUCUACCUGCUCCCCCAACACGCCACAAUAUGAUUGCCUGCUUGCAGGGCACCAGGAGAGAUGAGUCCUCCAUCACAGAUGGUGUGGUAAGUGAAAAUGGUCACCUGCAGGUUACAGCUCAUUGGAUCUCCAACUCACAUUCAGUGCCACUGUACUUAAGGGAAGUUAAAGACUUUCUUCUGUGCUUACAUUUGGAUCGCCUAAAUCCAUGACAGUCGUUCCGGCAGUAAUACCAGGACUGGAAACAAUCCAUCCUUAAAAUAUUACAACAUGCCAGCUUCUGUGUUUGAAUGCAAAACAAAUGUCUUUUUUAAACUAGAGACUGCACUUGUGACAGAACAAUAAGUAUAUUUUAUUUUGAUUAUAUAAGUAAUGUAACUUGCAAAACAAAGUUGUGGAAAGCCUAAACUUAGUUUCGGAAUAAUUAGAUAUGAGACUUUGUUUCACUGUAAGAUUGUAACAAUAUAAUUGUUUGUUGUUCAGCAGAACAGUGUCCAGUAUGUUGGCUGAUAUACUUUUUUGCAUUUGGAAAUAAAAGUUGGACUGAUUUUAA